rnacentral:rRNA from 1 species
AGUAACGCGUGAGGAACCUGCCUCAAAGAGGGGGACAGCAGUUGGAAACGACUGCUAAUACCGCAUAAGCCCACGGCUCGGCAUCGAGCAGAGGGAAAAGGAGUGAUCCGCUUUGAGAUGGCCUCGCGUCCGAUUAGCUAGUUGGUGAGGUGACGGCCCACCAAGGCGACGAUCGGUAGCCGGACUGAGAGGUUGAACGGCCACAUUGGGACUGAGACACGGCCCAG